AUGAGGAGCACCUGCAGAACAGAAGAGAAGCAAGGGCAGGAGGGGACAGCAACCUUGGCCCUGAGGCUGUGCUUGGCCUUCCAUGGUGCAUUCAGCUGACCUUUCGAUCUGUGCGCUUACAGAGGGUUGAAACUCACUUAAGCCAUGGCUACUAAUGAGCACUCAAUGGAUGAAGAGGGUGGAUGGUUAGAGAAGACUAUUUCUGUCUGGCUCAAGAACCUGAGAUUACCUGCUCCUCGAAUAAUGGGCAAUUGGCCAUGAAGGUAUAGUUACCUGAAAGAGGACAAAUUUGGCUCCUAUAUUCUGUGCGCCCAGGUGCAUCUUGGCUUGACGGAAGAUGAUGGCCAGGGACCAGAGAGCCAACAGUGUGGACACACCAAGGACAGUGUUGAUCCACAGAGCUGUGCUUUCCUCAGAAAUCUGGUGGCAGAUCAGAAAGCAGUCAGUGAGGCUCUUGGAUCCACUGCCGCAGCACAAAAGCUAAGAAAGAGAGAAGUUUCUUAGCAUCCAUAGCCUGACACUACUGCUGACCGUGAAACUCGUUUAUCUUCUUUGAAGAUUGUCCCCUACCUUAUUUUUCUGCAUCUUAAUAGAUAUUAGCGUUCUACGGCCAGAGGAUUUUUGGAAAUGCCUUAAACAAAAUUAAACCUAUUUCUUCCCAUACUCAAGCUUGUAAUCUGAUUUAUACUGUAAUUUCCUAGUGGAGGUUAUAGAAUACAACUUUUACAAAACUUAUUUUUCUAUAGAUUCUGUGUUCAUGAAGCAGUCCUUGAGAUUAGAAUUCUGAGAAACACACUUUGGGAAAUGCUUGUCAUUUUGAAUACAAUUAUACCUUUAGCAACUAGGAAUUUCCCACUGUGUCUGCAAUAGUGAAGAUUAUUUUUUUUAAUAAUGAAAACAAUAUUAGAGCAUUAAAAUUUUGAAAGAGUGUCCCCCAUAAUUCCAGCUAGCUCCUAACCAAAAGUUAUUUUCAUUUUGCGUAUUUGUCUUCAUGGGAGUUAAGAGCAUAAGCUCUGGAGUCAGAGACACCUGAGUUCAAAGUAAAAUCCCACUUACUGCUUGCUCUUGACCUUGGACAGGUUCUUCAUCCUCUCAUUAACCUCUUAGCACAGCACCUGGCGUGUAGUAUUUGUUCAAUAAAAAGCAGCUUUAAAAAACACCCUGGUUAAAGUGCAUACCUAUUGUAUUACUGCAAUUAUACUAUAAAAUCGUGUACGUUUUUAACUAGCAUUUCGUCACAGCCAUUGAAAACGAUUUUUUAUAAGUAUUUUUUAAAUUACAAAAAUUUCAAAAAUAAAGAGAAUCAUAGAGCAAACAGGAAUAUAUAUACCCAUAACCCAUUUUAAGGAGUGUUACAAUGUUGCCAAUUUUGCUUCAAAAAUUAUUUUUAGAAGCAUAAAACAUUACAGAUGUAUUUGAGGGCCCUUGCACAUACCUCCUGGAUCAUUUCCCCUUCCCCACCUCACCUCCCAGAGCUAACUACUGUUCUGAAGUUGGUGUAUAUCUUUCUCCCUUAUGUUUUAAUUUUUCACAACAUAGGUACAUACUCAACAUACCAUAUUGCUUUGCAUUUUACAAAAUCUACAGAAAUGGGGGCACCUAGGUGACUCAGUCGGUUAAGUGGUUAAGCAUGUCUGCCUUAGGCUCAGGUCAUGAUUCCAGAGUUCUAGGGUGGAGCCCGAGGACCCCCACCUCUGACUUCCUACUCUUCGGGGAGUCUGCUUUGCCCUCUGCCCCUCCCCCACUUGUGCUCUCCCUCUCUCUCUGCUCUCUCUGUCUCUCAA